CCCUUAGAUGUUCUGGGCCGCACGCGCGCUACACUGAUGCAUUCAACGAGUCUAAAACCUGCUCUGAUAGGGGUGGGUAAUCUUUUGAAUGUGCAUCGUGAUUGGGAUAGAUGAUUGCAAUUUUUCAUCUUCAACGAGGAAUGCCUAGUAAACGCAAGUCAUCAGCUUGCAUUGAUUACAUCCCUGCCCUUUGUACACACCGCCCGUCGCUCCUACCGAUUGAAUGAUCCGAUGAAUAUCAUGGAUUGAGGAUGCAAGCAGGUUCGCCUGUCUUCAUCUUCGAGAAGUGAAGUAAAUCUUAUCAUUUAGAGGAAGGAGAAGUCGUAACA
rnacentral:rRNA from 1 species